ACCCACGCCAACAGUUGUCAGCUCGUCCUCCGGGAUGGAGGGGACACUGUUGGGACCGCCUCUGCUAAAGAGGAGGAAGGAAUGGGCAACGGUAGGUCAGCAUGCCCCGAAUUAUCCGGGCUACACGCGGGCUACAAUGGGUGGGACAAUGGGUAUCGACACCGAAAGGUGAAGGCAAUCUCCUAAACCCAUCCUUAGUUCGGAUUGUGGGCUGCAACUCGCCCACAUGAAGCUGGAAUCCGUAGUAAUCGUGUUUCAAAAUAGCACGGUGAAUAUGUCCCUGCUCCUUGCACGAAUUCGCCG
rnacentral:rRNA from 1 species